GUCGUGCCCUCCCUCCCCCACUGAAUCGAUAAAUAAUGCGACUUAUCAGAAAGAGAAAGAAUUGUUUACUUUUAAACCCUGGAUCCCAUAAAGGGAGAGGGGAGAGGCCUAAAGCCACAGAAGCUGUGGAAGGCGCCAUCCUGCCUGCCACAGGAAGGGCCUUGGACUGAGAGGACCGGAGCUGACUGGGGAUUAUUCAAAGCCAAAAGCCAACAGAGCCCCCAUGGAGAAGUGGAGGAUGCUCAGAUACUGCUAUGGAGCCCUGAGAAGUGAAAUGGGUCCAAGCCCUUGCCCAGGAUAGAGCGCUCCAAGCGCAUCCUCCGGGGACCCUUUUAAUCAGUGAAUUGUUCACCUCUCACUGUUUCUUCCCAGCAGAGCUAAGAGACUUCUAGAGCCUCUUGUGGAUGGUCAGCGAUAGCCCUGGUAUGACCAGGAGGUGGCGAUUUCUGUUCUAGGUCCCUCAGCAAAGACUAAGCAGGACAAGCCUGGCUACUGUGUUAGGAGGAGCUGUAGGGAAAGGGAAGGACAAGAUGGGCCACCACAUGCCUGUGUCCACUGCUGGCCACACCCAGAGUGCUAGGGGUUUGUGGCAGUGACUGGGGCCACCUAGAGCAGUUCUAGGGUUCGUAGUCAUUCUCUCUGAGUCAUGGAAAACUGCCCAGGAGGCGAGUCCCACCUAAGAGAGUAUGUGUAGCACUGGCACGGCCUGCUGCCUUGCAAAUGACCACAUUUCAUGAAAGAAAGCCAGGGCCACAGACAGGAACCAAAGGAAAUCAGUCACUUAGGGGAAGAUAACGAAUCCACAAAGUGAAAAAGGGAAAGAAAAAAAGAGGCAACUUCAACACUCCAACCCAUGGGAGCAGAACGACUUUCAGCUUUCGCAGGGGGAUAAUCACUGCAAGUCCAGCUUGAAGAGGGUGAUUUCAGGAUCUACAUGAGAAUAAGGCGCAAUUUUUUUUUUUUUUUUCUGAAAAAUACGGAAGGGUUCAUUUACAGCUGUUAAAGAUGGGCCGGUUUUAGGGCUAAAGCAAGACUCUGGUCAGAUGUUAACAACUCAGUUAUCCUGGGGAAAAAAUAACUGGCUCCCAACCCUUUCCCUUUUCAGCAUUUGCAGGAAAAGAAGGAGUAGGUAAAAUGCUUUAUUUCCUCUCAUUCUCCAUGGUGGGCAGGAGUUCACAUAACAAUUAUAAACCAUCUUUAACAGGAAAGCCAAGUAAAUCCUGUAGGGAUUUAUUUGGAGCUCCCUUUUUGCUAGAAAAUGAGUAUCAUGAACUAAAAAUGGACUCGUUUCCUCUCUCUCCAUCUUCCUCUCUUUCUUCUCUCCCCUCAUCUCCCACCCACCGCCAUGGUGGAAAAUGACUGUGGUCAAGAAGAUUGAACAUUUGAGCAAGACCAGAUGCCUUUAUAUCCAAUAGAUGCCACGGAGAGUAGAUCACAACACAUCUAACUGCUGUAUCCCCAUAUAAAAUAAUUUUAAUUUUC
rnacentral:lncRNA from 1 species